GACGAACGCUGGCGGCGUGCCUAAUACAUGCAAGUAGAACGCCGUUUCGAACGGGUGAGUAACGCGUAUGUAACUGCCCCAUAGCGGGGGAUAACCAUUGGGAACCAUAGCCUAUACCCCAUUCUGUUAGCUGGACCUGCGUUGUAUUAGCUAGUUGGUGAGGUAAAGGCGCACCAAGGCGACGAUACAUAGCCGACCUGAGAGGGGUGUCGGCCAAACUUGGAAUGAGGCACGGCCCAGGAUCCUUCGGGGGGCAGCAAUUGGGAAUCUUCGGCAAUUGACGGAAAUCUGACCGAACAACGCCGAGUGGUUGAAGAAGGUUUUCGGGUCGGAAAGCUCUGUUGUUCGAGAAGCGGUAACUAACCAGAAAGGGACGGCUAACUACGUGCCAGCAGCCGCGGUAAUAC
rnacentral:rRNA from 1 species